rnacentral:hammerhead_ribozyme from 1 species
AUCCAGCUGAUGAAUCCCGAAAAGGACGAAACCCGCAUCCUGGAU